ensembl:lncRNA
UGAAGUGACUUAGCAGGAGGUGAAUUAAAGUGAAGAAAGAUCACUCGUGUCCAGUAGAAACAUCUUGAGGGCAGCUUCCUUCCCACAGGAAGGAGGAAAUGAGCGUGGAACUGGAGUCCCAUAAAAGGAGAAGAUGAUGGAGCCCAAUAGACAAGGCCCCCUCCCACCCCCACCUGCUCUUCAGUCACUGUGACCACAGCUGAACCAUGUGAUACACAACUUCAGCAGAAGACGGUCAGCUGAGCCAGCAUGCUUGGCAUCGCAUAGUGAUUGCAAUCAGUUGUGAAAAUGCACAGCAUCACACUGUUCUCGAGGCCACAAGAUGGAGACAUUUCUCUUUGAGGAGACCAUGCAUCUGAUCCCUGAUCUGGGGAGAUCCCAAUGCCAAGGAGCAACUAGGUCCCUGUGCCACGACUAUUGAAUCUCUGCUCUAGAGCCGGGGAGUCACAACUGCUGAUCCCACAUGCUUCAACUACUGAAGCCAGGGCCCUAGAGCCUGUGCUGCACAACAAGAGAGGGCACUGCAGUGAGAAACGUGAGCACCGAAACUAGAGAAGAGUCCCAGGCAGCAAUGAAGACCCAGCACAGCCAAAAAUAAAAUAAAUAAAUAAUUUUUUUAAAAAAGAAAUUACUUCAUAUUUCUGCUUUAAACCUUUGAUUGUCUCAAAUGAGACAUUUUGCACAGA